GUCACUCGGUGUUCUCACCGAAAGCACGUAAUCGCCGGUGUAACUCAUGUUGGCUGGGGGGCCUCCCGGCGCGCCGCGGAGGCUGGGGUGCGCCCCC
ensembl:misc_RNA